AACGAACGCUGGCGGCAGGCUUAACACAUGCAAGUCGAGCGCCCCGCAAGGGGAGCGGCAGACGGGUGAGUAACGCGUGGGAACGUACCUUUUGGUUCGGAACAACUCCGGGAAACUGGAGCCAAUACCGGAUAAGCCCUAACGGGGAAAGAUUUAUCGCCGAAAGGUCGGCCCGCGUCUGAUUAGCUGGUUGGUGAGGUAACGGCACACCAAGGCGACGAUCAGUGGCUGGUCUGAGAGGAGGAUCAGCCACACUGGGACUGAGACACGGCCCAGACUCCUACGGGAGGCAGCAGUGGGGAAUAUUGGACAAUGGGCGCAAGCCUGCUCCAGCCAUGCCGCGUGAGUGAUGAAGGCCUUAGGGUUGUAAAGCUCUUUUGUCCGGGAAGAUAAUGACUGUACCGGAAGAAUAAGCCCCGGCUAACUUCGUG
rnacentral:rRNA from 1 species